GAUGAAGGCCAUUUCUCCUCUCUCUCUCUAUGCGACAUGGCCGCACGGGCCAUCUAUUAUCAGCCUUUCUCCGACUCCGAGUCGCCGGUGACGCCGUGACAACGGUGAGAUUGCUGAUUUGCUGCCUUGAUGUCAAAGGCGCCGGCUCUUCACUCUUGGUUUGCUCACUUUGACUCCUCUUCAAGCUGUCAAGCAACAAAGCAGAAGACUUUGGUUCAAUUUCUGGGUUCUUCCUUCAAGCUCAAGAGUUGGAUUUGUUUUGGACCGGGAAGGAAGUUUGCAUUGUGUGAGCUUGCACUGUAGCAUUUGUGCCUUUUUGAGUAGUGGUGGCGUGCUUGUUUGUGUGUAGUCUGGAGUGGAAGUUGGGAUGCUACUGAGGAAGAGAAGCUGGAUUUCGAAGUAGUCCGGAAGAGGGGAGGUCUUAGGCAUUUGCAUUAUCAGUGAGAUGAGUAUAAAUGAUGAGUCCCAAUUUAUAUCUACGGAGGAAAGAGAAGAUGCAACAGGAAAUGUACAAAGAGAUGAUUUGGCUUCUAGAAGAAAUUGGACGAAAGAAAAGAAAUUAUAUACAUAGCUCAGCAACUAUAGCACGAAAUUCAAAGAGAACUUGUCUUUGCAUCAUUCCUUAAAGCUUUGUGCAGAAUUCCUUAAAGCUUUUCUAUAACCAGUUACAAGCAUGAAGCAUAUAAUUCAAGUAAUUCAUUCCGUGAGAUGUUUACUUGCUGGAACUUAAAAUGGGAAAGUCUACAUAUUCAAGUAAGUUGCAUCUUGUUCUUUAUUAGAAUAGUGAGGGUCUUGGACUUCAGAGUAGUUAAAAGUGUACAUGGGUCACAAUAAUGGCUCAAGUUUAGUUCAAUACAAAGAAAAAAGAAAAAAAAAAG